GAAAUGCGAUAAGUAGUGUGAAUUGCAGAAUUCAGUGAAUCAUCGAAUCUUUGAACGCACAUUGCGCCCUUUGGUAUUCCGAAGGGCAUGCCUGUUCGAGCGUCAUUACAGCUCUCAAGCACAGCUUGGUGUUGGGCGUCUGUCCCCGCAAUUGCGCGGCGGACUCGCCUGGAAAGCAUCGGCGUCCGGCGGUGGGUCUUGCGCGUAGCAGAUUGUUCGCACAAGAGCCCGCCUGCAGGGCUGCCGUACACGUUGUUUUUGUACCAGUUUGACCUCGGAUCAGGUAGGGAUACCCGCUGAACUUAA
rnacentral:misc_RNA from 1 species